rnacentral:rRNA from 1 species
CAGUCGCCACGGGAAAACGUAGGGCGCAAGCGUUGUCCGGAAUUAUUGGGCGUAAAGAGCUCGUAGGCGGUCUGUCGCGUCUGGUGUGAAAUCCCGAGGCUCAACCUCGGGCUUGCAUCGGGUACGGGCAGACUAGAGUGCGGUAGGGGAGACUGGAAUUCCUGGUGUAGCGGUGGAAUGCGCAGAUAUCAGGAGGAACACCGAUGGCGAAGGCAGGUCUCUGGGCCGCAACUGACGCUGAGGAGCGAAAGCAUGGGGAGCGAACAGGAUUAGAUACCCCCGUAGUCCCUGUCUCUUAUAA